rnacentral:tRNA from 1 species
GCCUCCGUAGUGUAACGGUAGCACACUCUGAGCAUAUUUUAGAGGUUCAGGUUCGAGUCCCGGCGAGGGCA